GCUGACUCUUAGUCCAGUGCUC
rnacentral:miRNA from 1 species